UUUCAUCUGUGCAAACGUGAAACGUCAAAACCACAAUGUCAAUUUAAUUCGAAAGUAAAAAUGAAAUUGAACUGCAAACGAUUCAGAGAUCACAUUUUCAUUGAAAACGCUAUCAAUUAUUGACGACUUUCGACGAAAAAUCAAAUCUAGACGAAAGCACGAAAUAUAAACUGAGAAAUAUGACGAAAACGAUCGAGAUGACAUCAUCAUAGGAAGAAAGAAAUCGUGAGGUGAUGUUUAAAUUGAUCGGAUUAAAUAGCGAGACAUCAAAUCAGGAAGAAGUUCAACAGAAAAUCCGAAACCAUGCAUUUCAUCGAUUUUUUAUUACAUGUAAUCUACAUCAUUUGCUGGGGUCUUAAAUCGCUUUACCAAUUUGUAAUCGAUUACAUAAUCCCCGUCAUCGGAUACGUUUUGCCAGUGCUAAUCAAAUAUCUAUCACAACUAUUUUCAUUGGUAUUGCGUAUAUUUUUUACGUAUAUUUCGCCAUGUGUUGUUCAAGUAUUGCAUGGCACCACAUUCGUAUUCACAAAUUUUUUAAACGGAAUCAGCGUUACAUCAUUGACAAUCAUCAAUUCAAAUGUGCAUUUUGAGUACUUUUAUGCAAUUAUAAUGGGCAGUGUAAUUAUAGCAAUUGUCUACUUUCGUAUAACACAAAAAAUAUUCCAAUUUUUCCACGAAUCAUACCAAAUGACAUCGUUGUAUCUUCGAUUUAUACUAAAUAUUCUGAAAAUGUUGCUUUUUUGUGCGAAUUUCAUCUAUAGAAAAGCAUCUGCUGUGCUACUUUGCGAACAAACACAGGAUCACAAAUCAGCCAUUAAAAAAGAGAAAAAACAUCACACAAUCCAAAGCAAUGGAGUUAACGGAUCAUCUAAUGGGUCAUUUAUUUAAUUUAUUUAAUUAACUGUAAAUAGUGGGAAAUAAUUGCGCCAAAUAUUCGAGACAAUUUGAAUUGAAUCAACGAAAUGCUGCUGUGAUUAGGAUCUAGAGUUCGCUUAUUAUUAUUUUUUUAAAUAAUUAAUUUUUGUGUUGCACAUAUCUACGGUGUAAUGUUUACUAAGCAUUCGUUAUGCGUACGACGCGUUUAUACGCUUAAUUUAGUCAUUUAUUUAAAAAAAAGUUUUGUUUUGGUUUUAACGAUCAAUUUAUAUUGCGAUCGAAGUUUUUGGUUUUGUGUUCAAUGUUCAUUUUUUAAGGUAGGAAAAAAAUGUAAAUAUUUGAAAUACAGACAUGAACAAUAGAACAUAAGGGCAAUAUAUUUUUCUAUCAUCAAUGAAUUAACAAAAAAUAAUAGUUAAAAAUCGAAACAAUUCGAAGACGAAAAAUUUCCAAAAAAGGAAAAACGAAGGGUUUCAAAAUUUCGCCAUGGCUUUAUAUGACAUUUACUUAAAAUUACGCUUUUUAUACUAGAAUUUGUUUGGUUUUUGACUUCAUAUAAUUCAAUUAAUUUUAUUUAUUUUGAUUCCAAUGAUCAUGAUUAUUUUGAUUCCAAGUUCGUGGAAACAUGUCAAUUCGACACCGUUUUGUAUUUUUUCAUCGAAAUAAAAUUACUCUCGAAUAUGACAAUUAA